AUCCCACUGAGCGGAAACUGCACCCAAUAGCAAGGGAGAGCCGGGGAGAAGAGAAGCAGAGCCAGGUUAUUGGCCUGGCCCCCAGUCCCCAAAACCUGCUGCACAGAAAGUGCUGGUGGCUGUUCUAGGUGCAGUCACUGCCCUCCUCGUUCUCACACUGAUCGUUACCACAGCUGCUUUGGCAGGGGGGAAAUCGACACCGUGUUUGGCUGCCGUCGCAUGCCCUGAAGGCUGGGUCGGG